GCGGGAAAUCAGCAGUGCAGUUCAAUCCUUCACUCGAGGUUUCUAAAGCGUUGUCAUGGUUAACAGUGAGAGAGCUGUCCACAUUCAUCCAUCACACUAAACGUUUAUUCUUUGACUGUCUGCAGAUGAUUUCUGGAUUUCAGUUCAGCCUGAACAUUCUUCAUGCUUUGGCAGGUGAAUCUCGAAAAGAAAUGUCAGAUAUAGCUCAGCACUGAGGGCCUCUGCUUAAACCCAUGUUCUAAAAACAUGGAAGCAGGCAGGACACGAGGAGAGAGAUGAGCGUUAAAAGGAAGAGGGUGGAUUAUUGAGCAGCACAACUCUUGACAACACUGCCCCCUGCAGGAAAGACAGCCACAGGACCACAGAAGGACACCAACCAAAGCAGGAGUCGCUCUCUCCCGUGCUUCAUCUCCACAACCAACAUCAGUCACUCAUGUCAAACCCGGGGAGGACACUUUGGGGAACAGCCAUUUUAUUAAUCAAAUUUGAACUUGGUGUUAGUUUCUCUUUAUUCCAGUGUCACCAGGGUGAACACCCAUGUUAAAAAUAAAAAGUGACAUUGUUUUUUUCUCUUUUUUUUUUUCUUCCUUGUUAAAAUGUAUAAUCAUAAUGAAGACAGUUAAUCAUAGAAACUAAUCAUAGAAACUGACAGAAUGACCUCACAGCAUUUUGGAUCAAACUCUUCUUCUCCUCCCUUCAGGCUAACUCAUAGAAACAGAAAGAACAGAAAUGGGCCAGGGCAGACAGAACAAAUAAACAGCUUCUUACGUAUAUCCACAUGUUUUUUUUUUUGUUGUUUUUUUUUCUUCUUUUUAGAUAUUUCCCAUAGACUUUAUAGGUUUGGUUUGAAGGGGGGGAAUCUGCUGGAUUG